AGGGGAUCUUCGGACCUUACGCUAACAGAUGAGCCUGCGUUAGAUUAGCUAGUUGGUAGGGUAAAGGCCUACCAAGGCGACGAUCUAUAGCUGGUCUGAGAGGACGAUCAGCCACACUGGGACUGAGACACGGCCCAGUCUCCUACGGGAGGCAGCAGUGGGGAAUAUUGGACAAUGGGCGAAAGCCUGAUCCAGCAAUACCGCGUGUGUGAAGAAGGCCUUAGGGUUGUAAAGCACUUUCAAUUGGGAGGAAAACCUAUCGAUCAAUACCCGAUAGCUUCACAUUACCUUUAGAAGAAGCACCGGCUAACUCCGUGCCAGCAGCCGCGGUAAUACGGAGGGUGCGAGCGUUAAUCGGAAUUACUGGGCGUAAAGCGUGCGUAGGCGGUUCGUUAAGUCAGAUGUGAAAGCCCUGGGCUCAACCUGGGAACUGCAUUUGAAACUGGCGGACUAGAGUUUAGUAGAGGGGAGUGGAAUCUCAGGUGUAGCGGUGAAAUGCGUAGAUAUCUGAAGGAACACCAGUGGCGAAGGCGACUCCCUGGACUAGAACUGACGCUGAGGUACGAAAGCGUGGGUAGCAAACAGGAUUAGAUACCCUGGUAGUCCACGCCGUAAACGAUGUCGACUAGC
rnacentral:rRNA from 1 species